rnacentral:rRNA from 1 species
CCUACGGGGGGCAGCAGUGGGGGAUAUUGCACAAUGGGGGAAACCCUGAUGCAGCGACGCCGCGUGGGUGAAGAAGUAUUUCGGUAUGUAAAGCCCUAUCAGCAGGGAAGAAAGAAGACGGUACCUGACUAAGAAGCCCCGGCUAACUACGUGCCAGCAGCCGCGGUAAUACGUAGGGGGCGAGCGUUAUCCGGAUUCACUGGGUGUAAAGGGAGCGUAGACGGCCGUGCAAGCCAGGAGUGAAAGCCCGGGGCCCAACCCCGGGACUGCUCUUGAAACUGUGCGGCUGGAGUGCGGGAGGGGCAGGCGGAAUUCCUGGUGUAGCGGUGAAAUGCGUAGAUAUCAGGAGGAACACCGGCGGCGAAGGCGGCCUGCUGGACCGCGACUGACGUUGAGGCUCGAAAGCGUGGGGAGCGAACAGGAUUAGAUACCCCUGUAGUC